ACACAGGGCUUUGCAGUAGUGGUGGCAGCCGCGGCAGAAACCGGCUCUGGGAAAGCAAUUGAUUCGUCUACUGCCAGCAGCCCAGAGUUGCCUACGCGGACUGGAAAGGAAGGCAGAAGGGAAAGAGAGAGAGAGAGAGAGAGAGAGAGAGAGAGAGAGAGAGGGAGAGGCUUACAGAGCGAAAACCUUCAUCCAUGUGGAGGACAGUCUGAGGGAGCCACUGUCCCUUGUCCACUGACUCACUUGCUGGUCCGAGUUUUCUCCGCUUCUGGCAGUGGCACCUCCGCUGAGCUUUUGAACCAAGUCAUUGGGACUUAGCGUCUUCCUACCCGAUAGGGAAGGGAGGAGUUGGCAAGAAUUUGGUUCACCCUUUCCCCCUGCAAUCCUCCCGCGUCGCGGAGCACUAGACGUCUACCAUGACUGACACCGUGUUCAGCAACAGUUCUAACCGUUGGAUGUACCCCAGUGACCGGCCCCUUCAAUCAAAUGAUAAAGAACAGCUCCAGGCAGGCUGGUCCGUCCACCCCAGUGGUCAGCCUGACAGGCAGAGGAAGCAGGAAGAGCUGACCGAUGAGGAGAAAGAAAUCAUCAACAGGGUGAUCGCCCGAGCUGAGAAAAUGGAAGAGAUGGAGCAGGAGCGAAUCGGGCGCCUGGUGGACCGCCUGGAAAACAUGAGGAAGAACGUGGCUGGGGAUGGGGUGAACCGCUGCAUACUGUGUGGAGAACAGCUGGGGAUGCCGGGCUCUGCCUGUGUAGUAUGUGAGGACUGUAAGAAGAAUGUCUGCACCAAGUGUGGAGUGGAGACCAACAACCGCCUGCAUUCUGUGUGGCUCUGCAAAAUCUGCAUUGAGCAGAGGGAGGUGUGGAAGCGUUCUGGAGCAUGGUUCUUCAAAGGCUUCCCCAAACAGGUCCUCCCACAGCCUAUGCCUAUAAAGAAGACCAAGCCCCAGCAGCCUGUCAGUGAGCCUGCUGCCCCUGAACAGCCUGCUCCUGAGCCCAAGCACCCGGCCCGGGCUCCAGCUCGAGGUGACAGUGAAGAUAGGAGGGGCCCAGGUCAGAAGACAGGCCCUGACCCGGCCUCUGCUCCCGGGCGAGGAAGCUAUGGGCCUCCCGUGCGCAGGGCCUCCGAGGCACGAAUGGGCUCAUCUAGCCGGGAUUCAGAGAGCUGGGACCACAGCGGAGGUGCUGGAGACUCCAGCCGGAGCCCAGCAGGUUUGAGACGGGCCAACUCAGUCCAGGCCUCCAGACCUGCCCCAGGCUCAGUGCAGAGCCCAGCACCACCUCAGCCUGGGCAGCCAGGGACCCCAGGAGGCAGCAGACCAGGUCCUGGGCCAGCAGGACGCGUUCCAGAUCAGAAGCCAGAGGUGGCUCCGAGCGACCCCGGGACCACUGCCCCACCCCGAGAGGAGAGAACAGGGGGAGUUGGGGGCUACCCAGCAGUUGGAGCCAGAGAGGACCGAAUGAGCCACCCCUCCGGGCCCUAUUCCCAAGCAUCUGCAGCUGCCCCCCAGCCUGCCGCAGCCCGCCAGCCACCGCCCCCAGAGGAGGAGGAGGAGGAAGCCAACAGCUACGAUUCGGAUGAAGCAACCACGCUGGGUGCCCUGGAAUUCAGCCUUCUCUACGACCAGGACAACAGCUCCCUGCAGUGCACCAUCAUUAAGGCCAAGGGCCUGAAGCCCAUGGAUUCAAACGGCUUGGCUGAUCCCUACGUUAAGCUGCACCUCCUGCCGGGAGCCAGCAAGUCCAACAAGCUUCGUACAAAAACUCUGCGGAAUACCCGAAACCCCGUCUGGAAUGAGACCCUCGUCUAUCACGGCAUCACCGAUGAGGACAUGCAAAGGAAGACCCUCAGGAUCUCUGUCUGUGAUGAGGACAAAUUUGGCCACAAUGAAUUUAUUGGUGAGACCAGAUUCUCCCUUAAGAAACUGAAGCCCAACCAGAGGAAGAAUUUCAACAUCUGCCUGGAGCGAGUGAUUCCUAUGAAACGCGCUGGGACCACCGGGUCAGCCCGAGGCAUGGCCCUUUAUGAGGAGGAGCAGGUGGAGCGUGUUGGUGACAUCGAGGAGCGUGGCAAGAUCCUGGUCUCUCUCAUGUACAGCACCCAGCAGGGAGGCCUCAUUGUGGGUAUCAUACGCUGUGUGCACCUGGCUGCCAUGGAUGCUAAUGGCUACUCAGACCCAUUUGUCAAGCUUUCAGGUCCUCCAAGAAGGAAACACCAAGAGAAGAUAAGGUGUGCAAGAGAUUUGUUGGGGAAAUGCCUGUAGAGGAGAUAAGGAGGAAUCCAGAGGGGAGCCAUAGAGACCACAGAUCUUGCUGCAGCUGGCUGAAACCAGACAUGGGAAAGAAGGCCAAACACAAGACUCAAAUUAAAAAGAAAACCUUGAAUCCCGAAUUCAAUGAGGAGUUUUUCUAUGACAUCAAACACAGUGACCUGGCAAAGAAGUCACUGGACAUCUCGGUCUGGGACUAUGACAUCGGCAAGUCCAAUGAUUACAUCGGAGGCUGCCAGCUGGGGAUCUCUGCUAAGGGAGAGCGCUUAAAACACUGGUACGAGUGUCUGAAAAAUAAAGACAAGAAGAUAGAGCGCUGGCACCAGCUACAGAAUGAGAACCACGUGUCAAGUGAUUAGGCUAGUGCCCAGGUCCCCAACUCCAUGUCCCGGGUCCCCCCCAGCCUGCCUCAGCUGCCCACCGCACCCUGAUCUCUCUUCUCUAUGCCUACCUCCCCCCAUACCCUGCUGAUCUCCCUGAGCCUGCCUUUGAGCCCCCGUCAUGUUGGGCACUGCUGCCAAAGACUCCCUCCUCCCUGAUGCUGGGAUGUGGGCUCUGAAUAUAGCCCUUCUCUGGUCCCUGGGAUGGAGCAAUGGGGAUGGGGUUGGGGAGAUGUUUACAAAGAGGUUGAUCAUUUAAUAACCUCUCAGUUUGGGUAAAUUACAAAGGUUCUUCAUCAUUUAGAACUGUUUUUAGACCCUCCUAGCCUUGAACACACACACACACACACAUACACGCACACACACACACACACACACACCCUCCCUUUCAUUCCCUGUGUCGUGUCUCCGUAUACUCUCAGUUGUCAGCAGACCCGGACAAUGCUGUGAGGACAAGCACUGGGGCAGAAAUAGAGGCUCCAGGCUCCCACUGCCCCCUGAGAUGCACACCCUGAUUGCCAGGAAAACAGACUGCUGUGUUCGGGAACACACCCUCCCUGCUCCAAGUGCACCAAGAUGCAAAUGCACAGAAUUCACCAAGGGGCUUGGACGCUCUCCUCUUUCCGAAUGUCACCUGUGUGCUUCCUAGCAAAACAAAAACAAACGACAACAAAAAACCCUUCCUCUGUUGCCUUUUCUCCUCCUCCCUCUUCUUUCCCUUUCAUCAUAGUAGAUUCUCUCUUUCUCAGCCUCUCCCUUCUCCUUUCUCUCCCUGCCUUUCUCCCCUUUGCCUUUCUCUCUCUCUAAAGCAGUAACACCGCAAAAACAGCAGCAAAAAAGUGUAUGUUAACCCAGCCUCACCUCCUUCCUCUCACCAGCCUGACCAGGAAACUGAGAAACUGGCCCAAAUCUGAGAUUUCACUUGGGCCCACACUUCUUAAGUGACCCACUUCUCCUGUUGGCAGAGCCAGACAUUCCCAGGGCUCGGGCCAGUGGCUGGCACUGCCCUGGGUGCGUGGCAGCAUCCCUCGAGCUGUGUAGAUGCCCCAUAGACGGGCUCUCCAUGGGCUCCCUGGGUGGGCACAGAAGGCAUUUAGAAGACCAGGGCUAUGGGUCUGAGGGAGCCUCAUCCAAAGCCUCCAGCCUUUCUCUGCUCUUAGGUAAAUGAACAGGCUACCCUCCUCCCCAGUGCCCUUUGACUCUGUUUCAUUGACUCUCUUGUAUCCCGUCUCUCACUCAGAACCACCCCCCUCAGUCUCUCUGUCUCUCUCUGUCUGUCUCUCUGUGUCCCUCACUCUCUUUACUAAGCUUCCUGGGAGAAUCAAAUAACAUCAUGGUUAUGGAACAAUGGAGAGAGACAGUCCUGAUGCCAAAGGCUUUGGGCUCAUCAUCAAUCUUUCACUUUCUUCCUAUAAAAAAAAGUAUUUUUAAAAGGAGGAAAAUGCAAUGUGGGCAAACAUUACACACUUGAGGUUGAGGUCAGGCAAUCUUCGGUGCCCAGAGAGAAAGGUUUGAUUUUCCCAAUUUCAAUGAGGUUUUCCCUCAUGAAAAGCACCCCCAGUCAUCCCAGACCCCUGACAUUCUCUACAGAAGCAUCAGACAGACACUGAAACUCUCACUUUCCCCCAAAUCACCUCUCUUAACUUUUCAACGCCCUCCACCCUCAGCUCCCUACACAAUUCAUGGGAGGACUCAUUUCUUGCCUUGAAUAACCAUUUUCUAGACAUCGAGCUCUUUACCUUCCCCAAAGUGGCCAACAGCUUCCUGGCCACCACCUUUCCUUUUGACCCUAUCUUUCCCCAUUAGUCCCUGGUGGCACCUACUCUCAGCCCACCUCCCUUCCCCUGUUUCCCCUUAGGAGACAGCAUGCUGGCUGUGUCGCCCAAGCCUGAUGCUGGUGUAGGCGCUGGAAUCAGCAUGCAGCAAGCUCACAGUGCCCCUAGUCUGGGGACACGCUCUUCCUGACAAAUGUAACCACCUCCCUGCCUAGAAUACACACAUGUCCUCUGGUGCAUGCACAACCACCCAGCAUCUUUCUUUGUGAUGAUGUAGCCAAAAAUAAAGUAGGAACAUCCAGGAAAA